CAGGAAGUGGACCACCCCCAACAAACACGCACUUUGUUGCCCACCUCUGCACUUCUCAAGGACGGUCAAACUGUGUAUUCCACCCUUCUCCAUCUGUGUUGCAUUCAACCAGCCUGGACUAUUGUACCCUUCCUAAGGAUAUCACAGAUCUGGUUACUGCACAAGCAAUGCCUCUCCCUUCGUUGGAGAUCUCCUUGCCGCCCUCGCGAGGCCUCUCCCUGCUGACCCUAAGAUAACGCCUGGGAGAGAUGCUUCAAUCCACAAUGCACGGAGGGGGUGCACCAGCCGGUGAAAAGUCAGCCCACCUUUUCCUGUCCGGGCAUGUGAAGGACACCCGAGAGAGCGAGACGUCAGCGCCAGCACAGUCGUCCGCCGCUGUCACCAUCAUCGACACUAACAUCAUCAUCGUUUGU